CCUACGGGAGGCAGCAGUGAGGAAUAUUGGUCAAUGGACGGAAGUCUGAACCAGCCAUGCAGCGUGCAGGAAGACUGCUCUAUGGGUUGUAAACUGCUUUUGUACAAGGGUAAACCUGAAUACGUGUAUUCAGCUGUAAGUACUAUACGAAUAAGGAUCGGCUAACUCCGUGCCAGCAGCCGCGGUAAUACGGAGGAUCCAAGCGUUAUCCGGAUUUAUUGGGUUUAAAGGGUGCGUAGGCGGAUUGAUAAGUUAGAGGUGAAAUGUCCGAGCUUAACUCGGGAACUGCCUUUAAUACUGUUGAUCUAGAGAGUAGAUGCGGUAGGCGGAAUGUAUGGUGUAGCGGUGAAAUGCUUAGAGAUCAUACAGAACACCGAUUGCGAAGGCAGCUUACCAAUCUAUAUCUGACGUUGAGGCACGAAAGCGUGGGGAGCAAACAGGAUUAGAUACCCUUGUAGUC
rnacentral:rRNA from 1 species